GGGUCCUUAGCUCAGUGGCGAGAGCGCAUCCUUGACGUGGAUGAGGUCGGUGGUUCGAGUCCACCAGGACCCACCA
rnacentral:tRNA from 1 species